CAAAUCACCUGAAAACAUAUGGGCUUAAAGCAACAAUAAAGCAAAUAGUUCUCUCUCCUGGUUUCUGUGAAUAAAGGAAUUUGGGAAGUUCUCAGCUGGAAGUUUUGGCUCGAGGUCUCCCAGCAAUUGUAGUCAGAUGGUAGAUGGAGAUAAAAUACUGGAAGAAUGCAGUAAGUGAGAUUUCCACCUGUAUAUUUUUCUUCAAGUAAUUUCACAGACUCUUCAUAUAGUCUAUUUUCCUGGCCUAAUUUGGGCUUCCUCACAGAUCGGCAGUAGCAGAUUGCUUACAGAGUUGUUCAGAAUUCUGAGUGUCUCAAGUGAAUUUGUAUAGCCUUUUAUCACCUAGUUUUGUUGUAGGAAGGGGGGGCCUCCAAGGCCCCAAGAGUAGGCUCUUGUAUAACACUUGGAAAAGAAUUGUCCAAGGAGACACGUGCUGACAAAGCAAGAGACUUUAUUGGAAGAGGGCACCCAGGCAGAGAGCAGCAGGGUAAGGGAGUCCAGGAGAACUGCUCUGCCACAUGGCUCACAGUCUUGGGGUUUAUGUUGAUGGGAUUAGUUUCUAGGUUGUCUUUGGCCAAUCAUUCUGACUCAGAGUCCUUCCUGGUGGCGCAUGCAUUGCUCAGCCAAGAUGGAUGCUAGCGAGAGGGAUUCUGGGAGGUGGAUGGACACGUGGUGUCUCCUUUUGAGCUUUCCCUAACUCUUCUGGUUGGUGGUGGCUUAUUAGUUCCAUGUUCCUUACCCGGACCUCCGGUUGUAAAACAACUCAGGCAGAUGGUUACAAGAGAGCCUGGCCAGCAUGGGCGGUUUCAGUCAGUAUGCUUCUCCUAACAGUUUCAGAACUCACAGAGUAUCCCUUCCGCUGGAGUCAGAGUAACAGACCAACAGAGAUUCAAGGGGAGAGAUCAUUCUUUCUAUCGCUUAGUAGAAAGAGCUCCGGAGAUGUAUUGUAAGGGAAGCAUAUGUGGUGUGAGAUACUGAUGUGGAUAUUACUGAUUUGCCACAAUUAGUAAUCAUUAAUCAUUUUACUGAGAGUAUCCUAAUAAUCAAUCAAUUGUAUUCUCUUUCUAAUCUAAUAAAAACCACUCCUUUAAAAGUGUUUCAUUCUAAAUGAAGACUUUGACAUAUUAACUUUUAAGCUAGAUAUUGAUCAAUUAAUUAUGAUAGAUAUGUAGAUUAAACAGAAAUAAUAUAGACUACAUGGAUAGAUGGCUGGAUGAAAAAAAUGAAGAAGAAGAGAACAAAGAACUAUGGGAUGUGAAUUAAAGAUUUUGAUAAGCCACACUCUGGAGUAGCAACUAUAUAUUAAGUUGUAUGCUAGGAAAUAUGAUACAAAUAAGAAGGAAGCAUGGUUCUUAAUAUAGUUUAUCAUCCUCUGAGGAACAUAAAUCAUUAUAAUUCAAGAAAG
ensembl:lncRNA